AUGUGUUUUCGAGGUGAAAACAUGGCAGCAACAUCAGUACUUUAAGCAUACAGUCUCAACUGUCGCAAGUGCAAGAAUGAGAUUUUCCAUGUGCUUUGACACCAACAAGACUGGGCUCAGAGCUGAAUCCCUCUUAUCUUGAAAUCCUGAUCUGAAGUGCAGCAAUUUCCAAACUAACCGUAGCCAACAACAAUAUUAUCACCAAUGGCAUCUAGCUCUAAGGAGUUAAAUUCAAAAUCCACAGGUCUGACACAUCAAAGGCAGCAUAACAUUCAGUCUGACACCCAAAAUUGGCAACACAACGAGAGCGACAUCUGAGCAAGUGAAUGAGCAGCAGGUCUUGGCUAUGCAAUGUGUCGCUCCCCGAGGCUGCUGGGAGAACAGAGAGGCGGCUCUGAUGAGUCCCUGAGUCACAUGUUUCAUUCUCUGCCAGCGUCCAGAAUAUCGCCAGAACCCUGCAGCUACAAACUGUGUCAGUCCCAAGAACAGUCAGGAGUCUGGUCCUAUGAAUCCACUGUGUGUGUGUGUGUGUGUGUGUGUGUGUGUGUGUGUGUGUGUGUGUGUGUGUGUGUGUGUGUGAUCAUUGAGUGUGUGUUUGUUCUUUUGGAAAUCACAGCUUGGUGUCCCAGCUGAAGAGCAUCUCUGACUCCCAUGGUUUGGCUUACCCAUUAAUUCAUGAGCAUGCGGUGUGAUCAGCCAGUAAACCAGUCUAAAGCAAUGCCCACUGAGGAUCAUGGGAACUGUAGUAUGUAGCCAAAACAGUUUUUUUCUCCCAAAAAUGUGCAAUUUUUGUGUCACAGUUGAAAUAUAUAGAAUGUAUUGCCACCACAUAGACUUCAGCCUGCACCUACAGCUGCAGGUGCCUGUGGUUGGU